GACGAACGCUGGCGGCGUGCUUAACACAUGCAAGUCGAACGGAAAGGCCCUGCUUGCAGGGUACUCGAGUGGCGAACGGGUGAGUAACACGUGGGUGAUCUGCCCUGCACUUCGGGAUAAGCCUGGGAAACUGGGUCUAAUACCGGAUAGGAGCCAUUUUUAGUGUGAUGGUUGGAAAGUUUUUUCGGUGUAGGAUGAGCUCGCGGCCUAUCAGCUUGUUGGUGGGGUAAUGGCCUACCAAGGCGGCGACGGGUAGCCGGCCUGAGAGGGUGGACGGCCAAAUUGGGACUGAGAUACGGCCCAGACUCCUAAGGGAGGCAGCAGUGGGGAAUAUUGCACAAUGGGCGCAAGCCGGAUGCAGCGACGCCGCGUGGGGGAUGACGGCCUUCGGGUUGUAAAAUCCUUUCGCUAGGGACGAAGCUUUUUGUGACGGUACCUAGAGAAGAAGCACCGGCUAACUACGUG
rnacentral:rRNA from 1 species